rnacentral:rRNA from 1 species
UGGCUCAGGACGAACGCUGGCGGCAUGCCUAAUACAUGCAAGUCGAGCGGANUUGAURRGAAGCUUGCUUCUUUGAUAGUUAGCGGCGGACGGGUGAGUAACACGUAGGCAACCUGCCCUCAAGCUUGGGACAACUACCGGAAACGGUAGCUAAUACCGAAUACUUGCUUYCUUCGCCUGAAGGNAGCUGGAAAGACGGAGCAAUCUGUCACUUGAGGAUGGGCCUGCGGCGCAUUAGCUAGUUGGUGAGGUAACGGCUCACCAAGGCGACGAUGCGUAGCCGACCUGAGAGGGUGAUCGGCCACACUGGGACUGAGACACGGCCCAGACUCCUACGGGAGGCAGCAGUAGGGAAUCUUCCGCAAUGGGCGAAAGCCUGACGGAGCAAUGCCGCGUGAGUGAUGAAGGUUUUCGGAUCGUAAAGCUCUGUUGCCAGGGAAGAACGUCCUUGAGAGUAACUGCUCAAGGAGUGACGGUACC